GCUGAGGUAGCCUAGUCUGGCCAAGGCGCCGGCCUUGAGAGCCGGUGGCGGUUCCCGCCUCGGGAGUUCGAAUCUCCCCCUCAGCG
rnacentral:tRNA from 1 species